CCCUUAGAUGUUCUGGGCCGCACGCGCGUUACACUGUUCGACGCAGCGAGUCUUAACCUUGACCGAAAGGUUUGGGUAAUCUUCAGCAAAGUCGAACGUGAUGGGGAUCGAUCAUUGCAAUUAUUGAUCGUGAACGAGGAAUUCCUAGUAAGUGCAAGUCAUCAGCUUGCGCUGAUUACGUCCCUGCCCUUUGUACACACCGCCCGUCGCUACUACCGAUUGAAUGGUUUAGUGAGAUCUCUGGAUUGACGCUGGCUAGGGGGCGACCCUUGGCCAGACUGCUCGAGAAACUGCUCAAACUUGAUCAUUUAGAGGAAGUAAAAGUCGUAACA
rnacentral:rRNA from 1 species